rnacentral:rRNA from 1 species
GACGAACGCUGGCGGCGUGCCUAAUACAUGCAAGUCGAGCGAGGUUUUUCUGGUGCUUGCACCGGAAAAACUUAGCGGCGAACGGGUGAGUAACACGUAAAGAACCUGCCUCAUAGACUGGGACAACUAUUGGAAACGAUAGCUAAUACCGGAUAACAGCAUUAACUGCAUGGUUGAUGUUUGAAAGUUGGUUUUGCUAACACUAUGAGAUGGCUUUGCGGUGCAUUAGCUAGUUGGUGGGGUAAAGGCCUACCAAGGCGACGAUGCAUAGCCGACCUGAGAGGGUGAUCGGCCACACUGGGACUGAGACACGGCCCAGACUCCUACGGGAGGCAGCAGUAGGGAAUCUUCCGCAAUGGGCGAAAGCCUGACGGAGCAACGCCGCGUGAGUGAAGAAGGAUUUCGGUUCGUAAAGCUCUGUUGUUAGGGAAGAAUGAUUAUGUAGUAACUAUACAUAGUAGAGACGGUACCUAACCAGAAAGCCACGGCUAACUACGUG